rnacentral:rRNA from 1 species
GACGAACGCUGGCGGCGUGCCUAAUACAUGCAAGUAGAACGCACAGUUUAUACCGUAGCUUGCUACACCAUAAACUGUGAGUUGCGAACGGGUGAGUAACGCGUAGGUAACCUGCCUGGUAGCGGGGGAUAACUAUUGGAAACGAUAGCUAAUACCGCAUAAUAUUAAUUAUUGCAUGAUAAUUGAUUGAAAGAUGCAAUUGCAUCACUACCAGAUGGACCUGCGUUGUAUUAGCUAGUAGGUGAGGUAACGGCUCACCUAGGCGACGAUACAUAGCCGACCUGAGAGGGUGAUCGGCCACACUGGGACUGAGACACGGCCCAGACUCCUACGGGAGGCAGCAGUAGGGAAUCUUCGGCAAUAGACGAAAGUCUGACCGAGCAACGCCGCGUGAGUGAAGAAGGUUUUCGGAUCGUAAAGCUCUGUUGUAAGAGAAGAACGGGCGUGAGAGUGGAAAGUUCACACUGUGACGGUAUCUUACCAGAAAGGGACGGCUAACUACGUG